rnacentral:rRNA from 1 species
UACGUAGGGUGCAAGCGUUAAUCGGAAUUACUGGGCGUAAAGCGUGCGCAGGCGGUUUUGUAAGCCAGAUGUGAAAGCCCCGGGCUUAACCUGGGAAUGGCAUUUGGGACUGCAAGGCUUGAGUGCGGCAGAGGAGACUGGAAUUCCUGGUGUAGCAGUGAAAUGCGUAGAUAUCAGGAGGAAUACCGAUGGCGAAGGCAGGUCUCUGGGCUGACACGUGACGCU